UACGGGGGGAGCAAGCGUUGUUCGGAUUUACUGGGCGUAAAGGGCGCGUAGGCGGCCUGUGCAAGUCAGUUGUGAAAUCUCCGGGCUUAACUCGGAACGGUCAACUGAUACUGCUCGGCUAGAGUGCGGAAGGGGCAACUGGAAUUCUUGGUGUAGCGGUGAAAUGCGUAGAUAUCAAGAGGAACACCUGCGGCGAAGGCGGGUUGCUGGGCCGACACUGACGCUGAUGCGCGAAAAGCCUAGGGGAGCGAACGGG
rnacentral:rRNA from 1 species